UGCGAUGAGAGUGCCAAGUGGGCCACUUUUGGUAAGCAGAACUGGCGCUGUGGGAUGAACCAAACGCCGGGGUAAGGCGCCCGAGUCGGGACGCUCAUGAGAACCCAUGAAGGGUGUUGGUUGCUUAAGACAGCAGGACGGUGGCCAUGGAAGUCGGAAUCCGCUAAGGAGUGUGUAACAACUCACCUGCCGAAGCAACUAGCCCCGAAAAUGGAUGGCGCUCUAGCGUCGCGCCUAUCCCCGGCCGUCGCUGGCAGAAAAGCACGAAAUGUGGGGGUGCUAAGCCGCGACGAGUAGGAGGGCCGCAGCGGUGUGCGUUGAAGGUGUCGGGCGUGAGCCCGCCUGGAGCCGCCGCUGGUGCAGAUCUUGGUGGUAGUAGCAAAUACUCAAGUGAGAACCUUGAGGACUGAAGUGGAGAAGGG
rnacentral:rRNA from 1 species